rnacentral:tRNA from 1 species
GCCUUCGGGGUGUAGUAGUCAGCACGCUCGGCGCGUAUUCGAGAGGUCCGUGGUUCGAGUCCCGGCCAAGGCA